CUAAGGUUCGAUUCGAGCGUCAGCGAGAAAGCGUUGCCGCAGGCAACGACCCGAAGGGCGAAGCGCGCAGCGCUGAGU
rnacentral:sRNA from 1 species